AUGAUGUGCAUCAGAUGUACAAUGAGCUGCCAAUUUUCAGUUAAUGGAAUGGUCUUUUUUCUACCUCAACAAAUUGUCACGCACCAUAUGCAUAAAUUCUUCAAUUUCAAAAUGUUGUUUAAGCUCUUGCUCCAGCUGAGGAAAAAACAUGUCGGACCAAGAUGGUCAAAAUACCUAUACUUGGGAGAUCAUUCAGUAGUAUUCUAGUACUUCAGUGAUUAUCUUUUGUUUGUUUUCUAUGCUGUCUUAGCACAUACAGACAAGACAUAAUGUACAUUAUCCACACCAUAAACUGUUAAUUUUCAGUCGAAAAGUGGUUCUCUAGUACCUCAAUGUAAACUUUCUAAUCAUAUCAUACAUUUUUUCCUAGCACCAGUAACAUACACGAUGAACAAUCGAGGCAAUCGGCGAAUAUGCCACCUGGGAUACCUUUUCGAUGCGGAGAAAAGACGACACAAAUCCACCAGCUGGCGAUGCUGCCAGGCAAAGAAGCUUCAGUGUAAGGCUCGGAUAGUCGAGCGAAUCUCAAAGUGGGGCGAGCCAUCAUAUGAAUUUGUGCGGUCUGUGCACAAUCAUGGUGUUGAUCCUGGUGACAUGCUGCUGGGAUUAAGCUUCAAACUUUAAGGAGCAGUAAAUAAAUUCUUUUAUUCAUGAGUUGAGAUGGUUUACUAUUAAAAAGCAUGUAUACGUAUAAAUAAAAAUAAGUAUUCUAGUGCUUGAUUUUCAUGUCUGUUUAUUUCAUUACUCUGUUAACUUUGGAGCAGUUUGUAACGAUAUCUCGUCAUUUAACAGAUGUUACCGAAGUACAAUACGUGUUGAGCGCUCGUGGAGGCUUACAGCUAUGCAUCGAUGGCUUCCGCUACACACGUGAUCGGAUUAAAGAUAACAAAAUUAUCUACCGUUGCGUGCACUACAAACCGUUAGGAUGCAAAGCACGUGCCCACACCGAUAAGGAUGACCCCAAGGUGAAGAUUAUCGAGAUGGAACACAACCAUCCACUGAAGAUGGACCGCCGAAAAAGUGGAGCCCUGAGACAGCUACUGGAGCAACGCAAACAGGAAAAUCGAGCGGCGGGUGUGCGUGCAAGUCGAAAAAAGUGAUGGCGAUCUAUUUUUCGGCGAUAAUCUAGUACUUUCUGCUGAUUGUAGGGACAACAUUUGGUUUAUUCAAUUCGAAAGAGCUAAUGAAAUCGAUUAAAUUCUAAGAUUUUAGACCUCUCGAAGCGUCUUCAAUCUACUACUACAACUUGAUUAGCACAAAUCUGUUAAUAGUUUAUUUGUAAUAAUUUAGUCUUAGAGACGUCUUCAUGGUAGUUUAUUCUGGUUGAUGAAUAAAUCAAUAAAGCGACUAUGAUUAAUAUGUUGAUGUGUGUCUAAGUUUUUGAGAUAAAACAUCAGUUAUUUUAGCACAGGCACAUUUGGCCGUUCUGAAAUAAUCACAUUCACAUUCAAACAAUUGCAGAACUAAGCAUAUCGCCUGUCCCUCGACCAGUUAGGACGAUUACUACGAAGCUAUUCCGUGCUCAACAGAGCAAACCGAUCAUCGGCGCUGCUGUCGAGAGAUUCGUCUUUCCGCUACAAUCUGAAGAGGAAGUGGACCGUUUGGAGUACACCGCUCGAAGAGAUCGGAUCAUUCGUGAUCAAUAUGUAGCGUUGUUGCAGGAAGUGAAACCUCACCAUCAGGAUCCAUCUAAUGUUUUUGCAGACCUGUUUUCCGACGAGGCACUACUGGGAUACAACUAUUACGGAAAAACGAACCGAGCGAAGAAGAAGAAAGCCAUGCGGAAGUACAUCAUAUUCACCGAUUGUAUGGUUGAUGCAUGGCUUUCGCAUGGGGUUACGGAAGAAAGUUUGAGAAUAUCUAUCGUUAAGGUAAUUGCCCGACUUAACCACAAAGUACGUAGCAGAGUAUAUCGAAGAAACCCUUCAAGCGUUACAACGCAGGAUGGUGCCGAAGUCGGGGAAGAACUUUAUUGAAAGAAGUGUGAAAAUUUUCCAGCGAUGCUAAGAAGUAAUGAUUUGUUAUGGUGCAGGAAGUUCCCAUGGUUAAGAUCAUUCCGUAAAUAACACUGCAGUACUAGAUUGCAACAUUUUGGAAUCGUUAAACGACUCUUGAAUCAAUCUGUUCAUUAAGUUUUAAUUCGCAUUCUACAUUUAUUAGGGCAAACGCCUGCAUUUACUCAACUAUGCUAAUAUUUCUUUUACAAAAUCGUCGGCCUGGAAAACACCGUUCAUGGAAAAUCAGACAUCUUCAAAAAUAAUUGAAAUUAUUCCCAAAUUUUAGUACUGCGAUGUGAACUUGGAAUAUUUGAAAUGCAAAUGGUGACUGCCAACGUUAGAAUAAAUAUAAUUUUAUUAUUAUAAUAAAACAGUAAACAUUGGACUAAUAUUUUGUUAUAUAUCUACAGAGAUUAUCAGUUGAGCCUCUAAUACCUAAUUGUAUAAACUUUUUCAACUCCCACAGCGUGCAAGUGCCAUACAUCUAAACCGAAGAAGCAAACAGAGCAAUGGUUCACUGUGGAUGCGUUCCAGUACGUAGAGAAUCGCAAGGGUAAUCUCAAUCUUUUCUACCAAGGAUACGAGUAUUUACGGAGACGUGUUGCUGACCAAGCAACCAUGUGGGAAUGUAACAAGAAGAGAACCUGCGGGGCACGAGCCCGUAACCCGAAACGGCAAUCAAAUCAAGCUUAACAAGUUUCGACACAAUCAUCCGCAUUCGCGACUGGCACGUGGUCCGGUUAUUGUACCCGCCGUUAAUCCGGUGCCGAUCAUGUACAAGGACGAGCCUCUGGAUUUGAAUGCUCUUGACGAGGCGAUUUCGUAGAGUGCUUAGUAACAAUUAUAUCUGUCAAAGCAUGCUGUAUUAUUAUAAUCUAGUACGUUCUAAAUUUGGGUUAACAACAAACAAAUAAAUCAAACAUUCCGUCUGAAAUCUAGUACUUCAUUUCAACCAGUACACCAACCUUUGAGAACGUCACUAAUCAAUUUCCUGAUUUCCAUUCCAGAUUUCUACGUUCGGUACGUGACCGGUUUCAGGGGCAGUCGCAAACUGAAGGUGGGCGAGUUCAGCUUUACCAAAAACAAGGAGUGUGCAAACAAAACGUACUGGUCCUGCGCCAGGGCUGGCAUGAACAAAUGCAAAGCGCGGGUGCUGACCUAUACGCUGAAAAAUGGCGAAGAGAAUCUGGUGGUACGCUAUCCCACGCAUAAUCACGGGCCGUUCUAGUACUGCACUGUAUGAUAACAUUAGCCAAUGGAAGCAAGCAUUAAGAUUAUGGAAUCAAACUGAUUUUGCACAACAUAUUUGCUUGAAGGAUUCCUGUGGCUGGUAGAACGAUGAUUUCCAUUCUCGAUCAUGAACUAUUAUAUCCAAUCAAUGAUCUUUUUAGCGGAAUAUGAAAACUGGUAUAAUUAACCACACAUUAAGUUGAAAAAAAAAACAGAAAAUUCGAUAAAUGCAUUAAGUAAAUAACUAUCUUGUUACUAUUAUUGUUAAAAUAUUAUUAAGUUGACUCGCAUGAACAUUAUAAUCAUGAACUAGUACUGCAUGCUUAACACUUUAUUGACAAAAGGUGUUAUUUCAUGAUUCAUGGAUCACGUGUGUAUGGAACUAUGUACUACAUAGUCGUGUGUGAUAAUAUAGUAGUUCAUCAUCUACUUUUUCGCUUCCAUCCCGUUGCAGCCUCGCUGAGUACGAGUUUCAUGCAGCAAUUUCAACCCCAAACACUUCUCUCGUCGCCUCAGUUUAGCUUUAAAACAUCCCAACGAAGCGGUCGUCAUCUGCUGGUGGUAAAUGGGGUUACAUUUUUCCGAAAUCGCCAUCGCAACAACAAGCAGUACUGGAAGUGCAACCAGUACUACAAGUGCAAGUGUCCGUGCAUUGUCGUGAUCGAUGAGAUCAACUCGCGCAUGAACGUGAAGCAUGUUCACAACCACGAUACGUCGUCGAGUGCCGCCGGUGGUGGUGCUAGUAGGAGAAAUAGUCUUCUUCCGCCGAUGUUAGAUCCAAGUACUUCGGCCUUGGCGGGGUCAUUUCUAAACGAUAGCUUACUGGUUGGAAGUAACAGCGCACUGGUUGCCGCUGCUUCAUUUGCCCAAACUGUGCAAUCUAGAGGGUUUAUGAAUAAAAGAUAAUAAAAUGAGUAUUACGAAAUGUGAUUUUUUGCUACAGUGCAUCCAAUCUAGUACUACAUUCCGUGUCUUCACCUCAAACAAAUCGAGUGACAUUCUCCUCUUUCCAGCAGUUCUUAACAGAAGACGCUCCAAAGUCUACGCAAAUAACCUGGAGCAGGUGUCGGACAUGGAGGUAGCCCGGUUCGGACUAAGUCAACGCAAGGCCAAGAAGCUGCUCUAUCGGGGGUUCGAGUACGUCAAAGAUCGAGACUUCCCCGACUCGACUAAUUGGCGGUGUGCUUUGUUCCGGCAUCAGAAAUGCCGCGCUCGUGCGAUAACCACUGUCAUCGAAGGCGUUACCUACGUAAGGCUGACCAACGACCAACACAAUCAUGAUUUACAAAUGUAUCGCAAGGCUUCGCUACUAAUGCCAAGGGAGGGGCAAUGAAUAGGCGGGAGGCAGUUCUGCUGAAUAGGAUUUGACAAAUUCUGUAAAUCCCUCUAGUACUUACAAUAUCACGCUGUAAUGGACAAAUAUAUUGUUCACUACUCAUUUGGAUGUUUCAGUAACUACUGGAAUUUAAGCUAAGUUAAACAAUAAUUACACAUUGUAUAUUUAUUUGUUGCAGGUUGGAACACGAACACACGGAGUGCUGCUAGCCACAGAAGGAAGAACAAGUCCAGAUUUGUAGUACCAAAUACAAGAAUAUUGGACCCAUCCUGCCAUACGGUCAGCUACAGUUUCAGUCAAACGGGUAAAUCCAUAGUCACCAUCGAUGGGUACAGUUUCCGCAGAUAUACAGCACACAAAUCGAGAAUCUACUGGAGAUGCACCAGAGUCAAAACCAAAAAGUGUCGAGCCAGAAUUACCACAUGCGCCGAUAGUUCAAAAAUGUUCUACAGCCUUCGGCCUCACACUCAUCCGCCGGACGUCUAGAAAUGAAUAAAGCACAGUGAUGAAGCUAACUGCCAUGCGAAGCGAGCACUUUGUACAAUAAA